UUGAAGAAUCCGGGAGAGACCGCAGAUCAGCGGCGGCGCCGAAGGUGAGAAAAACUCUCAGGCAAAAGGACCGGAUUUGGACG
rfam:Clostridium hathewayi CAG:224 genomic scaffold, scf227